UUGUCCUGGCCUGUGCUUUCUCUGCUCCCCUGUGCUCGUUUGUAAGAGGGGAGUCUGGCAGGACACACAGCAAUCUCCCUCUCAGUUUAGGAGGGCUGCCCAGAGCAUAGGGCUGGCUCUUAAAGGCAUGAGAAGACAAU